rnacentral:sRNA from 1 species
UGGAAAAGGUUUAACGAACAAGAUAAUAGACUAUUGUCUUCAAUUUGUUUAAUUAUAAAUACCUUCACUCAAGGACGAGCUCGAAGGCGGCUCAACGUCAUUCGAACACAGGAUUUGCAAGAGUGAGAAGAUCGUACUCAGGUUGAGGGGAUGUCGCCGACUUGAGAACGGACAGUCACACAGUGUCAUUG